AGAGUUUGAUCCUGGCUCAGAACGAACGCUGGCGGCGUGCUUAACACAUGCAAGUCGAGUGCGCGCCUGUAGCAAUACAGGUGGCGCACGGCGCACGGGUGCGUAACACGUGGGCAAUCUGCCCUCUGAUGGGGAAUAACCCGCCGAAAGGCGGGCUAAUACCGCAUAAAAUUCCUUGGACUUAUGUUCGAGGACUCAAAGGCGUAAGUCGUCGGAGGAGGAGCCCGCGCACGAUUAGCUAGUUGGUAGGGUAAUGGCCUACCAAGGCUUUGAUCGUUAGCUGGUCUGAGAGGAUGGCCAGCCACACUGGAACUGAGACACGGUCCAGACUCCUACGGGAGGCAGCAGUGGGGAAUCUUGCACAAUGGGCGAAAGCCUGAUGCAGCGACGCCGCGUGGGGGAUGAAGCAUUUCGGUGUGUAAACCCCUUUCGAUCCGGACGAAUGCCUCGCAAGAGGAGUGACGGUACGGAUAUAAGAAGCCCCGGCUAACUACGUGCCAGCAGCCGCGGUAAGACGUAGGGGGCCAGCGUUGUUCGGAAUUACUGGGUGUAAAGGGUUCGUAGGCGGUGUGGCAAGUUGGGUGUGAAAUCUCAGGGCUCAACCCAGAGACUGCUUCCAAAACUGCUGUGCUUGAGUGUGAGAGAGGCUCGUGGAAUUGCAGGUGUAGCGGUGAAAUGCGUAGAUAUCUGCAGGAACACCCGUGGCGAAAGCGGCGAGCUGGAUCACUACUGACGCUGAGGAACGAAAGCUAGGGGAGCAAACAGGAUUAGAUACCCUAGUAGUCC
rnacentral:rRNA from 1 species